ACCAGUUGAAUCUGAAGAUAAAAACAGAUGAUAAAUAGUUGAAUUUUGAUAAUUUGAGUCUCAAGGUGAGCACGGAAGAACUAAAAUCUUCUCAGAAGCAAUUAAAGGGGUGAAUUAAAAACAGGGAACAUCCGCUCCAUACGUAUUUUCGCUAUCUUUUUUAUCGGACAAGCGAUCGCAACGACUAACCAUUCGCUCGAGAGGCUAAUAACCGUAAGAAGUACCUAUAUUGCACAGCAUAUCAACUCGCGCAGAGAAGCCAAUUUCAAGCUGCAUUAGCUCCUCGGUGCACUAAGUAAAGGAGAAGUAUAAUCGAGUAUUGAUCGUCCUUUCCACAAUCAAGUUUCUGUUAUCGUAUUUGAAGUUCGUGACUAACUGCAUUUUUCCUGCCAUUUACACACGUACGUACAGUUCAAUUGUUCGUAAAAUUACAAAGUUUUGUAAUACAACCAAUUCUCUAUGUGCACAAAACUUGAUGAUUAUACGCAUUCAUAUAGUUCACCAUAAGAAUCGAAAAUAAAUAUCUCUAGAUACGUACAAGUUUUGAGCGAAGUUCUUUAUGUAUAUGUAUCUAUAUCGUGGAAAUUAGUUACACGAAUAUUUAUAAUAGUGUUUCUUGUGCGAGCGUAAUUGAUCUACAAAAUUAAUUCUGAGCGUAAGAACGAGGACGACGAUCAAAUCUUUUUUGUGUUUUUUUCGUGUCUUCGUGCAUUUCGUGAGUUUGCUCAAUAAUAAAAAAUACGUAACAUUUUUAUCCACACUACUCGAUUAAGACUAGUUUUGCUACGUCUCCGCGGUGAAAAUUGAAUGAGAUUCGCCUGGUGAAAAAUUGCGUCGAUGGAAAAAUCGAGAGAUUAGAAAGUGAAAUGAUUAUUUAAAAUAAGGAUCUCCAUCGUCUAACUUUCUG
rnacentral:misc_RNA from 1 species